GAGGCCGCCGUCGGGCCUGCGCAUGUUCCCCUCCGUCGAAAUUGGCAACCGUCGUCCUGUGCCCCACCCCUGUAGCCUCUGUCGAUCGACCGACGCUCCCUCACCCGCGCGGUCGCGCCCUCUGGCACUCCGUUGAGCGGUACCAUCCCACCACCAGCGCCCUCCGUCGAGCGGCCGCCAUCCUGCUGCUGAUCCUCUUCGUCGAGCACGGUCAGUCCCCAACUGCCUCACACCCUUCUUCCUAUUCAUACUGCACCUCCGUGCGGAUCUCCCUGUGGCGACCCGAAAGCCAAGGAAGAGGAGCUGGAAAUAUUUGACAUAUUAUCAAAAUAUGUUGUAGGAAGAGGAGCUGGAAGCAAGGAUCAGAUUGCUUGAAGUGUGAAAAAAUAUUACUCGCAUGCAUGCUAGCUGUUGGCGUAUCACCCAGCCGAUGGAGAGAUUUUAGUUUGCUAGAUGUAUAUUUAUACUUUUGCAUGUAAUAGAACUGAAAGAUCACUUCAAAAUUUAGGAAACAUGUGUAUGCUAUUAUUUUUAUAUGUUUAUCACACGAAUCAUGUUCUAAACAAAUAUAUGUUGGAAUUCAAAGUCAAAGAUUGAUCUCUUUCUUUUA